GUGCUUGCUUUGGCAGCACAUACACUAAAAUUGGAGUAGUAUAGAGAUUAGCAUGGCCCCUUUGGCAGGCUGACACACAAAUUUGUGAAGCAUUCCAUUAAAAA
ensembl:snRNA U6 U6 spliceosomal RNA